UGGAUUUGUUUCGCGUUUACUUAUUAUACAUAAAUCACGAACCGGUACAAUCAAUCACCGAUCGUUUCCAUAUAUUGCGGGACCUUCGAUCGCUAUAAAAACCGACCCUUCGUCACUCCCUCACCACUGCAACACAUCUCGACACAACCACAACCUCCUUUCGUUACGCUUCGAAGUUCGCCCGAGAUUUGGAGUUCACCGGAGUAACCGAAGCCGAACGGAGAUCACAACUGGAACUCGGCUCGACUAGUUACGUAUUUGGAUAAACCGUUUGUUCGUCCUCUUGGAUUUCUCCAAUCCUUACUCGUGCGUUAUUUCCAAGGAAUCACAAACGCAACCACUGUACACAAGGUUGAUAGCUUCUUGAGGAGACACAUAGGAUUGUGCCUUAGAAUAAUUAAAUCAAGACCUACGUUAUUUUCCUUUUGUAUUUUGAAUAUUGUGUGGUUGUAUUUGGAACGAUUAUUUGGUUA